AAGCAGCCCACGGUAGAUUUUAUUGUAGGCUCUAGCGAAUUAGAUGGCAUUUCACUACAGACUUGCUAGUGGAUCCUGAUGUUGCUAGAAAAUAUAGAAUACCUCCAGCAAUCAAGGGCAUUAUACAUUUUUAACUUACAGUGCUGAGCUUCCCAAACGAGAUUCAACUAUCGUUCACACUGCUGGAACAGUUUUCUCAUCACCAUUCAUUUCUUAAGAUAGAUGAUGCAGCAUCUGUCGAGAAAUUUCCUUGUAGUCGGUUUACUUAUGACAACAGCUCUGCCGUUGUUGACGGAAGGCGGAAUCAUUUCUUACGGAAUAUGCCAAACCGGUUGUAACGCUUUGGCCGUCGCCUGUUACGCGGCAGCAGGAUUUACCUUCGGAGUGCCGACAUGGGGUGCCGCCAUACCUGCAGCUCUUGUAUCGUGUAACAAAGCUUUAGGAGUCUGCAUGACGGUUUGUGCUUUGGUUAUACCUCUGCCAGCACCAUAAGGGAUGAACAGCAACAACAACAACAAACAAUAGUAAGAAUAAUCCAUGUUUUAAUUUGCAUCAGCUUAUUAUGGUUUCAUUUUUGACCGCAACCUUAAAUCCGUGUUGAUUGAACAUCAAAUAAAAAAUGAAAUGGAUUGCUGAUUAACCAAAAAUGGCAUGUGAAGUGUUAUCAAAGCGAAUAAAAAUACUUGCGUGUAUAACUGCAUGCUACAAAGUUGUUCGAAUAAAAGACUGGAACAUCUUUAGACAAUGUCACAACUGCUGUAGCAGUUAAUUUCACAGACUUUGUGAACUUGAAAAGUGCAGCAGAUAAAGAGGCUAUGUAGUGGAAUGUUAAGUCUCAGGCACGAAAACGGACGGAAUAAACGAAAACAAAAAAAUAUUGUUUGCAUACAGUUACUACCGAAAGUCUUUGGAAGCCCAAGAGAACUUAAUGCAAAAACGCUGUUUUUCAGUCCUCUCAGUACGGGAGACCGGGGCUAUGUGGGACACGGCCUAUAAUGUACAAGGCAAUUAAAAAUAUGUAAAAUUCGUUUACAAAUUGUGAAAUAAAUGUAGAGUAGGGGAGAACGGGGUCAUGAUAGACACGGGUCAUAUUGGACAAAUGUAAUACCUAAUUCCCUCAGUUCAGAAGAUAAAAUUUAUUUAUUUUUAUUUUUUAUGUAGAAUUUAGUGUUUUACAUCACGGAUAAACUUUUUAUUGAUAUCGCUUGAUUAUUUUGGAUGUUAUCGCAAAAUAAAAAUAAUAGGGGCGUUUGAUGUAAUUUUG